rnacentral:rRNA from 1 species
UACGUAGGGUGCAAGCGUUGUCCGGAAUUAUUGGGCGGAAAGAGCUCGUAGGCGGUUUGUCGCGUCUGCUGUGAAAUCCCGAGGCUCAACCUCGGGCCUGCAGUGGGUACGGGCAGACUAGAGUGCGGUAGGGGAGAUUGGAAUUCCUGGUGUAGCGGUGGAAUGCGCAGAUAUCAGGAGGAACACCGAUGGCGAAGGCAGAUCUCUGGGCCGUAACUGACGCUGAGGAGCGAAAGCGUGGGGAGCGAACAGG